rnacentral:rRNA from 1 species
GGGUUGUGAGGUUAAGCGACUAAGCGUACACGGUGGAUGCCCUGGCAGUCAGAGGCGAUGAAGGACGUGCUAAUCUGCGAAAAGCGUCGGUAAGGUGAUAUGAACCGUUAUAACCGGCGAUGUCCGAAUGGGGAAACCCAGUGCAAUUCGUUGCACUAUCGUUAACUGAAUACAUAGGUUAACGAGGCGAACCGGGGGAACUGAAACAUCUAAGUACCCCGAGGAAAAGAAAUCAACCGAGAUUCCCCCAGUAGCGGCGAGCGAACGGGGAGCAGCCCAGAGUCUGAAUCAGCUUGUGUGUUAGUGGAACGGUCUGGAAAGUCCGACGGUACAGGGUGAUAGUCCCGUACACCAAAAUGCACAGGCUGUGAACUCGAAGAGUAGGGCGGGACACGUGGUAUCCUGUCUGAAUAUGGGGGACCAUCCUCCAAGGCUAAAUACUCCUGACUGACCGAUAGUGAACCAGUACCGUGAGGGAAAGGCGAAAAGAACCCCGGCGAGGGGAGUGAAAAAGAACCUGAAACCGUGUACGUACAAGCAGUGGGAGCACCUUCGGGUGUGACUGCGUACCUUUUGUAUAAUGGGUCAGCGACUUAUAUUCUGUAGCAAGGUUAACCGUAUAGGGGAGCCGCAGGGAAACCGAGUCUUAACUGGGCGUUAAGUUGCAGGGUAUAGACCCGAAACCCGGUGAUCUAGCCAUGGGCAGGUUGAAGGUUGGGUAACACUAACUGGAGGACCGAACCGACUAAUGUUGAAAAAUUAGCGGAUGACUUGUGGCUGGGGGUGAAAGGCCAAUCAAACCGGGAGAUAGCUGGUUCUCCCCGAAAGCUAUUUAGGUAGCGCCUCGUGAAUUCAUCUUCGGGGGUAGAGCACUGUUUCGGCUAGGGGGUCAUCCCGACUUACCAACCCGAUGCAAACUACGAAUACCGAAGAAUGUUAUCACGGGAGACACACGGCGGGUGCUAACGUCCGUCGUGAAGAGGGAAACAACCCAGACCGCCAGCUAAGGUCCCAAAGUCAUGGUUAAGUGGGAAACGAUGUGGGAAGGCACAGACAGCCAGGAUGUUGGCUUAGAAGCAGCCAUCAUUUAAAGAAAGCGUAAUAGCUCACUGGUCGAGUCGGCCUGCGCGGAAGAUGUAACGGGGCUAAACCAUGCACCGAAGCUGCGGCAGCGACACUAUGUGUUGUUGGGUAGGGGAGCGUUCUGUAAGCCUGCGAAGGUGACCUGUGAGGGUUGCUGGAGGUAUCAGAAGUGCGAAUGCUGACAUAAGUAACGAUAAAGCGGGUGAAAAGCCCGCUCGCCGGAAGACCAAGGGUUCCUGUCCAACGUUAAUCGGGGCAGGGUGAGUCGACCCCUAAGGCGAGGCCGAAAGGCGUAGUCGAUGGGAAACAGGUUAAUAUUCCUGUACUUGGUGUUACUGCGAAGGGGGGACGGAGAAGGCUAUGUUAGCCGGGCGACGGUUGUCCCGGUUUAAGCAUGUAGGCUGAUUGUCCAGGCAAAUCCGGAUAAUCAAGGCUGAGGUGUGAUGACGAGGCACUACGGUGCUGAAGUAACAAAUGCCCUGCUUCCAGGAAAAGCCUCUAAGCAUCAGGUAACAUCAAAUCGUACCCCAAACCGACACAGGUGGUCAGGUAGAGAAUACCAAGGCGCUUGAGAGAACUCGGGUGAAGGAACUAGGCAAAAUGGUGCCGUAACUUCGGGAGAAGGCACGCUGGUGUGUAGGUGAAGUCCCUGCGGAUGGAGCUGAGACCAGUCGAAGAUACCAGCUGGCUGCAACUGUUUAUUAAAAACACAGCACUGUGCAAACACGAAAGUGGACGUAUACGGUGUGACGCCUGCCCGGUGCCGGAAGGUUAAUUGAUGGGGUUAUCCGUAAGGAGAAGCUCUUGAUCGAAGCCCCGGUAAACGGCGGCCGUAACUAUAACGGUCCUAAGGUAGCGAAAUUCCUUGUCGGGUAAGUUCCGACCUGCACGAAUGGCGUAAUGAUGGCCAGGCUGUCUCCACCCGAGACUCAGUGAAAUUGAACUCGCUGUGAAGAUGCAGUGUACCCGCGGCAAGACGGAAAGACCCCGUGAACCUUUACUAUAGCUUGACACUGAACAUUGAGCCUUGAUGUGUAGGAUAGGUGGGAGGCUUUGAAGCGUGGACGCCAGUCUGCGUGGAGCCAACCUUGAAAUACCACCCUUUAAUGUUUGAUGUUCUAACGUUGGCCCCUUACCGGGGUUGCGGACAGUGUCUGGUGGGUAGUUUGACUGGGGCGGUCUCCUCCCAAAGCGUAACGGAGGAGCACGAAGGUUAGCUAAUCCUGGUCGGACAUCAGGAGGUUAGUGCAAUGGCAUAAGCUAGCUUGACUGCGAGCGUGACGGCGCGAGCAGGUGCGAAAGCAGGUCAUAGUGAUCCGGUGGUUCUGAAUGGAAGGGCCAUCGCUCAACGGAUAAAAGGUACUCCGGGGAUAACAGGCUGAUACCGCCCAAGAGUUCAUAUCGACGGCGGUGUUUGGCACCUCGAUGUCGGCUCAUCACAUCCUGGGGCUGAAGUAGGUCCCAAGGGUAUGGCUGUUCGCCAUUUAAAGUGGUACGCGAGCUGGGUUUAGAACGUCGUGAGACAGUUCGGUCCCUAUCUGCCGUGGGCGCUGGAGAAUUGAGGGGGGCUGCUCCUAGUACGAGAGGACCGGAGUGGACGCAUCACUGGUGUUCGGGUUGUCAUGCCAAUGGCACUGCCCGGUAGCUAAAUGCGGAAGAGAUAAGUGCUGAAAGCAUCUAAGCACGAAACUUGCCCCGAGAUGAGUUCUCCCUGAGACUUUAAGUCUCCUGAAGGAACGUUAAAGACGAUGACGUUGAUAGGCCGGGUGUGUAAGCGCAGCGAUGCGUUGAGCUAACCGGUACUAAUGAACCGUGAGGCUUAACCUUACAACGCCGAAG